rnacentral:rRNA from 1 species
CCUUUGUACACACCGCCCGUCGCUACUACCGAUUGAAUGGCUCAGUGAGGCCUUCGGACUGGCUCGAAGAGGUGGGCAACUACCACUCAGGGCCGGAAAGCUCUCCAAACUCGGUCAUUUAGAGGAAGUAAAGUCGUAACAAGG